rnacentral:rRNA from 1 species
GACGAACGCUGGCGGCGUGCUUAACACAUGCAAGUCGAACGAAGUGGCGAACGGGUGAGUAAUACGUGAGUAACCUGCCCUCCUUUUUGGGAUAAGCCUUGGAAACGGGGUCUAAUACCGAAUAAAGGGGGAUGGGCUCGCGGCCUAUCAGCUUGUUGGUGGGGUGAUGGCCUACCAAGGCGGUGACGGGUAGCCGGCCUGAGAGGGUGACCGGCGACAUGGGAAAUGGGAAACAGCCCAAAGGGAUACGGGAGGGAGGAAUGGGGGAUAUUGGACGAUGGGCGAAAGCAGGAAGCAGCGGCGCGGGGUGAGGGAUGAAGGCUUUCGGGUUGUAGACCUCUUGCGCUAACGAACGGGUAGGUGGAGAAGAAGCGCCGGCUAACUACGUGCCAGCAGCCGCGGUAAUAC